rnacentral:ncRNA from 2 species
AUAAACUAUCAAGAGAUGUAGCUUUGCUACACAACAACCGAUCCCGGUGGGCACCGGGACACGGUGCUCAAAAUUAAGAUAGGCCCUUGGUUCGCAGGGGAAAACUAUGAAAACAC